rnacentral:rRNA from 1 species
GCAUAACGCGAAGAACCUUACCCACACUUGACAUGCCUCUUGGGACUUUCAGAGAUGAUUGUUUCGGUUCGGCCGGGGAGAACACAGGUGCUGCAUGGCUGUCGUCAGCUCGUGUCGUGAGAUGUUGGGUUAAGUCCCGCAACGAGCGCAACCCUUGCCAUUAGUUGCUACAUUUAGUUGAGCACUCUAAUGGGACUGCCGGUGACAAACCGGAGGAAGGUGGGGAUGACGUCAAGCCCUCAUGGCCCUUAUAGGUGGGGCUACACACGUCAUACAAUGGCUGGUACAAAGGGUUGCCAACCCGCGAGGGGGAGCUAAUCCCAUAAAGCCAGUCGUAGUCCGGAUCGCAGUCUGCAACUCGACUGCGUGAAGUCGGAAUCGCUAGUAAUCGUGGAUCAGAAUGUCACGGUGAAUACGUUCCCGGGUCUUGUACACACCG